rnacentral:lncRNA from 1 species
ACUAUCUUUAGAGUGUUGACAUGAGAUUUUAAGUAUAAUGUCUUGCAUUUUUGGAGUAUUGAUUGAAGAGUUUAGUUGACAAAACUGUUAUUGCUGUGAAUUUGAUUUCUAGGCUAAAUUUAGUUCAUCUUCAUGAAUAUUGCUGACACAAAAAAAAAAAAUAUAUUGUCGUUAUUCGAGUACCAUGAAAGAAAUUGAAUGUUUUUUUACAGACAUAAGUUAAUUCACUCGGAUGGUUCAAAUUGUAAUAACUACCAAAAGUUCUAGGAUUACUUGGCAAAUAAGACACACUGACACACCAUCAUUCAAGGAAUCGAAAGAGGACAAUUUGUAUUUCCAUUAACAUUUGUAUUUCAGGAUCAUCUAUAGUGUUUUGAAAGAUAACAAUAUGAUCUCCAAAAUAUAUGAUUUCAGAAUGGUCAGGCUCCUUUAUAGAUGUUUUCUAAUAACACACAGAUUGUCAAUGUACGUAUUCAAAACAUCAUCAUUCAUUUGAGCACAAAAGUUAAAAUAGUUUGAAUAAAAUUCAUCAUCACUCAAAAUAUUGAAUGUUUUCAAGACCAAAUAAUCCACAUUGUAAAUUUUCAUUAUUCAACAUGUCCAUUUUAGUGCUAAAACUGUUGAACAUUUUAUUCAACUGUUGAACAUUUUUUUCAACACAUCUAUUGUAAAUAGUAUUAUACUAUAGUUUUAAUUUUUAAUAGGUGUAACUAAAUUUAAACUAUGACUAUCCACAAUUGUUCCAAGAUUCAACACUCUAUUUUUCACUUUUUAAAACUCACAUCAUCUUUUUUU